AUUGAACGCUGGCGGCAGGCCUAACACAUGCAAGUCGAACGAGUGGCGGACGGGUGUGUAAUGUCUGGGGAACUGCCCGAUGGAGGGGGAUAACUACUGGAAACGGUAGCUAAUACCGCAUACCCUCGGAUGUGCCCCGAUGGGAUUAGCUAGUAGGUGGGGUAACGGCUCACCUGGGCGACGAUCCCUAGCUGGUCUGAGAGGAUUACCAGCCACACUGGAACUGAGACAGGGUCCAGACUCCUACGGGAGGCAGCAGUGGGGAAUAUUGCACAAUGGGCGCAAGCCUGAUGCAGCCAUGCCGCGUGUAUGAAGAAGGCCUUCGGGUUGUAAAGUACUUUCAGCGAGGAGGCGUUACUCGCAGAAGAAGCACCGGCUAACUCCGUGCCAGCAGCCGCGGUAAUAC
rnacentral:rRNA from 1 species